rnacentral:tRNA from 1 species
CGAUGACGCGGAUGGUGGCGUCACAGCCUUUGUUAAGCACUGUUAAUCCGUAGGUCCCUGGUUCGAGCCCAGGUCGGGGAGCCA